GUGCCAGCAGCCGCGGUAAUACGUAGGGUCCGAGCGUUGUCCGGAAUUAUUGGGCGUAAAGAGCUCGUAUGGCGGCGUGUCGCGUCCGCUGUGAAAGACCGGGGCUCAACUCCGGUUCUGCAGUGGAUACGGGCAUGCUAGAGGUAGGUAGGGGAGACUGGAAUUCCUGGUGUAGCAGGUGAAAUGCGCAGAUAUCAGGAGGAACACCGGUGGCGAAGGCGGGUCUCUGGGCCUUACCUGACGCUGAGGAGCGAAAGCAUGGGGAGCGAACAGGAUUAGAUACCCUGGUAGUCC
rnacentral:rRNA from 1 species